AGGUGUCACCCUCACCCAUCCCCAACGGGGGUGUCACCCUCACCCAUCCCUGAUGAUGGUGUCACCCCAACCCCAUCCCUGACAGGGGUGUCCCCUCUCUGCAGGCCCUGGGGGACCCCCACCUGCCCGGAGAGCCCUGGGGACAUCCCAAGGGGGUCCCCAAGAACAGGGGACAAACAAGAGCGGAGCAUCGGAGCAGGACGGGCCAGGGGGCCCAGAGAUGGCGGUGCCCAAAGCCCAGGACCUGGAUGUCCCCCAGGGACAGCUGUCACUGGUCCCCAGGAGGUGGCUGAACCCACAGGACCAGAGGGGAUCAACCCCGAACCCCAAGAUCUGGGGGCUCCCCAAGGCUCAGGACUGAGUGUCCCCAGCCCUGGACACCCGGACGUGGCUGUCCCCAAACCUCCGGAGCUCAAUGGCCACCAAGAGCCCCUCGUCCCUGGGGACACAGAGCCAGAUGUCCCCCAGGAACAGGGGACAGUCCCAUUGGAGCAGGAGGGACCCAGGGAGCUGCCCGAGCCCACGGAGCCGGACGUGUCCCAAGAGCCAGGUGACCCCCAAGGACUGGGGACAUUUGUCACCGGUGCCUGGGGGCAGGAGGGACCCCCGGGACCAGAGGUGAGUGUUCCCCACCCCAAGAGCUGGACACCCCUGAGCCCCAGGUGUCCUCCGGUCCCCAAGGUCUCAGUGUCCCUCAAGGACCAGAGGCUGCUGUCUCCAUCCAACUUUGGUGUUCCCCAUCCCCAGAACUUUGGUGUUCCCCAAACCCCAAGACCUCAGUGUUCCCCAAAGACCAGGAAUUACUGUCCCCAACCCCAAACUCCCUGUCCCCCAAACCCUGAGUCCUUGGUGUCCCUGACCCCAAACCCCAAUGCCCCAAUGACCCCAGAACCCCAGCCCCAAGGCCUUGAUGACCCCCAACUCCAAGACCCCAAUGACCCUAAACCCAAACCACCACGCUCCUGAUGUCCCUUUAACCUCAAGAUGUCAGUAUCCCCCAAACCCAAAAGGGCCUGGUGACCCCAAACCCCCAACCUCAAGACCCUGAUGUCCCUCAAAACCUUGAUGACCCCAGCCCCCAAUGUCCCCUCAGUCUGUGGUGUUCCCCCCAAUCCCAAACCUCAGUGUCCCUGAAACCCCCAGACCCUGCU
rnacentral:lncRNA from 1 species